rnacentral:misc_RNA from 1 species
AAGUCGUAACAAGGUUUCCGUAGGUGAACCUGCGGAAGGAUCAUUAACACGUAUCCAACGUAAAAACAACCCUGUGAACCUUCAAACGUGAUCGCCUAGCAAUCCCUGGUAAAUCAUUGUUGACCAGCUAUUGAGUCAGGGACCUCGAGGCUAUGGAAAGCGGCCUGGCAUCCUAGCAAUCUGUCAGUGGUUGCGCAAGGAUGGCGCAGUAAACGAUUGCUGGAGGCCCACACGGCCGGCGACCGGGCCUCUGUGCCUUGUGCACCUAAUGACCCCAAUGUUUCUGACCCGGUGCGCUGUAACAACCGCACCACAAACUCGAACAACUGUUAACAAUGGAUAUCUUGGUUCUC